GGUUGCUGCAGCGGGGAGUUUCAGUCUUUUCCCUUUGGUUCUCCAUUCGUUUCUCCGCUGGGAAGGAUGCAUCUUUGAGAGCACGGCUUUUGCUGGUCACAUCAGCACCCCACGUUCUCAUCUCAGACUAGAGCAAGACUUUAGAAGCACUGCUGCCAUAUGUAAGGGAGAGAGAAAAGCUAACUUUUGUUAUUCUUUUUAAUCUAUUCAUCAGGGAGCCAGGGUCAAGUCCUGGGCAAAGGCUCUAACACAUUUGUGUUGGCUCAGCUGUGCUUCACUGAGGACUUUUAAAUAAUUUUGGGGUGUCAGUACUCACUGGGGACUUGGAGGAGCUGCUUCUCUCCCUGCUGCAGGCUGUCUGUGAUCUUAGCAAGUGUCUUCGCCUUGACUCAGCACCCCUCCUGCGAAUGGAGGCUAAUGAACCUCCUUUUCCCUCCCUGCAGCCUGGCCAUCGGCUGAGCAGGUACUGCCUUGUGCUCUGCAUAUGUUCAGCAAAAAGAGCAGGCGAGCCCUGAUCUCCACCGGGACCUCUGCGCUCCGCCGUAGUAUGAAUAACAAUUUUCCUCUCUACUGCCUGUUACUCUAAAUUUUUAACAGCCUGCGUCUGGGAAGCUCGAGCACGAAGGCUGAGCCACUCCAGAGACCCAGUGCCAGUGUAGUCUGCAGCAGGGAGCCCCUGUCCCUCCCCUCGCCCAUCCACCCGGCAGGCAGAGCCAGGGUUGGUUUCACGCUGUCCCUGGUCCCCUCGAGCCUGCAGGUCCCUGGGCACCUUGCAAACUUCGUGGCUGAGCCGGUGGCCUCACGGGACACUAAGUGAGCUCCACGCGCUGUCUGGGAAGCUGCCAAGGAGCAGGAUCAGCAGAAACUCCAGACUCGUGUAGCCAUAUUGACAUCUGCUAGUGGGCACAACGGCGGCAUGAGCCAAGGUGGCACCUGCCGACACGGAGGAUGGAAGAGACCAGCCGAAGGGACCUAACGCCGCUAUGACGUCCUGAGAAGGAGGAGGGCAGGGCGAAUGGAUGGCUUUGCCCAGACAAGCUUCCAAAAGUUUGCAGGUAUGAAGAGAGUUUUACUGGCUGAUAUUUCAGAAAAGAAGAAAAUCUGCAAAACGAUCGCAGCAGGGUCUAACAUUUUGCCAAUAGCAAAAUAUCUUUGGAUUGUGACUUCUUGAAAGCAAGUUUCCAGGACCUGCACGGAGUCAUGACAAGCACUUCUACCAUUCCUUACGGAUAGUGCAGAUAUGGGCUGGCCUAAUUUCAGUCCCUCUCAGGAAACAAAUGAUCCACACCAACUGUUACGAACAUCGUGAUCACUUGGCUGCUUUGUUCGCAUUUAGCUCUUCAGAAGAACUGAUUACUCACAACUCCUGUGGGGCUGAACAGAAGGCAAUGAAUACUCAGCAUCUUUUAGAAUCAAGCUUCAAGAGACAUUCUUUCAUAUACUGCAUUUAAGACAUCAGAAGCAAUCAAACAUCCUUACGAUCUCAGCACGCUGGGCUCUUGCAGUUUCAUACCAGUGACCUCUCUGAAAGAAAUCUCCAUUUCUGCUAAAACCUGCUGCCCUUCUGAAAUCUGUUUCCGCAGAGCAUUAUAAUCCUCAAUCAAGCCAAGAACGUGGCGUCCAUUUUUGUCUGCCCACAUACGAUGUCCAGGCACGAGACGAGGGGUACACGCAGUACUAGAAGACGAGGUGCUACUGCAGUGUGAAGUGCUGUCUAAAUCGUCUUUAGAUGCUAAGCGUGUGCCUAGGACAGAAAAAAAGGAAGUUUAACUUUUUCUAACCUUACGUGAAGAACAGAUCAACACUAGAGUUCUCUCAAACAGAAAGUCUGUGAUAAAGAUGACAUGCAUGUUUAAGAGGCUUUUGGAUGUACUUGUUUUUGCUAGUGACAUGCACUGUCCCCCAACAUUUCUGUGAGCAGCAGGGCAUCUGCAAAGAUUUUCUAUACAUCAAAAUGGGAGACUUCUAGAAGAAUAUCAGUAGAAGUGAACUUAAAAAAUUAAAAAAAUAUAUCUUCCAA